CCCUUAGAUGUUCUGGGCUGCACGCGUGCUACAAUGAUACAUACAUACAGUAAUCCUAUACAGACAUGUAGUGGUAAUCUUUAAUAUGUAUCGUACUAGGGAUAGACUAUUGUAAUUAUUGGUCUUGAACCAGGAAUUCCUAGUAAGCGUAAGUCACCAACUUACGCUGAUUACGUCCCUGCCCUUUGUACACACCGCCCGUCGCUUCUACCGAUUGAGUGUUCCGGUGAAUUAUUCUGAUCACUUCAUGUGAAAAGUUUUGUAAACCUUAACACUUAGAGGAAGGAGAAGUCGUAACA
rnacentral:rRNA from 1 species